GAAGAUUUCACUCGGACUUCUAACUUGUCUUGGCACUUUGGACUUCGACUUGCUUGGGGUCUUAAGAACUCAUUAUUUGGAUGUACACUAGAUGGCAUGAAUCAAAUAAUUCCCAAGCUUCAUUGGCACAAAUUGGCUUCCGGUGCAUGCCCCAGAAGAGGAUCUUGCUCACUAUUGCACUCUUAUUACGCGAAAAGUUCACAAAGGAGCU